CUUUGGAGAGGGAGGGACCAGGCUGCCUGUGGAGCUGAGGAAGGGAACAAGUCCAGCGUGACACCAGCAACUCUGCUGAAGAUCAUAUUGAAUAUGCCUCCGUGAAUUGGCUGGAAAGCUCCAGGCAUCCAUGGCCAAAGAGAGAAGAGACACCAACAUAUGCGACCAUCGCUCUGCAGCAGGACAGAUGUCAUUAAUGCUCCACUUGCUGAAAUGCAGG